rnacentral:rRNA from 1 species
GUGGGGAAUAUUGGACAAUGGGCGCAAGCCUGAUCCAGCCAUGCCGCGUGAGUGAUGAAGGCCUUAGGGUUGUAAAGCUCUUUCGCCGACGAAGAUAAUGACGGUAGUCGGAGAAGAAGCCCCGGCUAACUUCGUGCCAGCAGCCGCGGUAAUACGAAGGGGGCUAGCGUUGUUCGGAAUCACUGGGCGUAAAGCGCACGUAGGCGGACAUUUAAGUCAGGGGUGAAAUCCCGGGGCUCAACCCCGGAACUGCCUUUGAUACUGGGUGUCUGGAGUAUGGAAGAGGUAAGUGGAAUUCCGAGUGUAGAGGUGAAAUUCGUAGAUAUUCGGAGGAACACCAGUGGCGAAGGCGGCUUACUGGUCCAUUACUGACGCUGAGGUGCGAAAGCGUGGGGAGCAAACAGGAUUAGAUACCCGUGUAGUCC